rnacentral:rRNA from 1 species
CCUACGGGAGGCUGCAGUGGGGAAUAUUGGACAAUGGGGGGAACCCUGAUCCAGCCAUGCCGCGUGUGUGAAGAAGGCCCUCGGGUUGUAAAGCACUUUCAGUGAGGAAGAACGCCUGGUGGUUAAUACCCAUCAGGAAAGACAUCACUCACAGAAGAAGCACCGGCUAACUCCGUGCCAGCAGCCGCGGUAAUACGGAGGGUGCGAGCGUUAAUCGGAAUUACUGGGCGUAAAGCGCGCGUAGGUGGCUUGAUAAGCCGGUUGUGAAAGCCCCGGGCUCAACCUGGGAACGGCAUCCGGAACUGUCAAGCUAGAGUGCAGGAGAGGAAGGUAGAAUUCCCGGUGUAGCGGUGAAAUGCGUAGAGAUCGGGAGGAAUACCAGUGGCGAAGGCGGCCUUCUGGACUGACACUGACACUGAGGUGCGAAAGCGUGGGUAGCAAACAGGAUUAGAACCCGUGUAGUC